CAGAGGACAUCUCAUUUUCAGGUUAACCUUAAACAGCAGAGCGCUGUAGGAACCCAAGGAUUCUGAUGGAGCUUCCAGUCCUAAACAAGCAGUAUCUUCCAAGGACGUUUUAGGGGACAUGGGUCAUACCCAGACUCAGGGAAUCACUUCAGAAUCAAGUGUGGCAAAUGGAAAGCACAUAGGCUUCGAGGUCAGCUGGACUAGGUGCCAAUUCUGCUACCACUUGCUAGCCCGCAUGAUUGUUGG